ensembl:lncRNA
GUUUGCAACAUAACUUUAUUUGAACAGUAUCUGCACUGAUCAAUUUCAAUAUAUAUAUUUUUUUACUUUUUUUACAGUUUCAUAUUGUAGCAGAAUGUAUUUCCGUGUUCAUGUUUGUGUGUCGUGUGAAGUGUGUUUUUGUUUGGUGUCACUCAUUCAUACCGUCGGUCCAGUCGAGUCACAGUAUCAUGGGUCAUUUUUGAGCAAAGCAAAAGUCAAAAACAGGAAAAGAGAAAAUAAAUACAUGUAAAAAGAAAUGCAAGGACCAGAGGAGACUUUACAUCAGGACCAUAGUCAGUAAUGGCGUAUGAAAAGUACUUUACAAACAGGUGGGAUUGUAAACAUUUGUAGUGUCGACAUUACUCAUGACUAUAGGUUUCAGACAGCUCUAGGACGGAAGACCGAUUGGAGAUAUUUGAAUUGCCUUUUUGAUUCCUUGUGUUCCUGAUCGUGUAGAGCGACUAGAACAAACUUAGUCUAAAGAAAAUGAUCCACAGAAUAAACCUGAUCAGGACAAAAGGCUUUAACUUGAACCUUAACAUCAUCCCUGUGGAACAUGUUCUACUGAGGCGUUUCCACUUCUCAGAAGUGAUCAGAAUUGCAUUUGAAUCCCUGUCAAUGUAUCAGAACAUACAUAUAAUUUAACUUAAAUACUUUUAAUGUAAAUCACGGCACAAUUUCUGAGUCCCAGAUUAUGAUAGAAAAUGUCAAGUAAUUUCUGCAGCUGCACCCAGUGUGUGGAGCGUCGCCCGUGACAGCAGAUCGUGGAGAGUUGGGUCCGAUUUAGAGUUUAGUUAUUGCAAAACUUUGUAAGAUUCACAGAAACAACUGUGACGAGAAAAUGAUCCAAUCCAGCUUCAAAUGUAAAGAAGCAACUUCAAAAAGACCCAAUUCUACGUCACAGCUGAACCAAACGGGUCAGAACAAGCACGUUAGCUCUGUACUAUUCAGAAGGGAAAUAGUCAAGUAUUUUACGAUCAGCGUUUAAGGUGAUCAACUUUGGUAAACCACCUCUGAAAACAAGGCAAGUACCUGCAAGAGUCAAACAAACAGAACUACAGCUGUGCA